UAGGACCGAGGUCAGUAGAAGAUGGAGAAGAAGGAUGUCCCAUGCCAUAUUAUAUGCUACUACAACAUGUAGGCCGAAAAGAUGGCCCUGAAACCGGCAGCAGUAUUUCGACCUGACACUGGUGUCGUGCAGCGUGGGGUCUGUGGCGAAGGGGGCUACUGACUGUGAGCGGUGCAGUGGUUUGUUUACAAACAAGAGGGGUCAACGUGAUCAAGUACUGACAAAACCCACCGAGGUACAGCUCAACAUGCGCCUACUAGCAGCCUUACCUUUGGUUCACAUUCAGGAACUCUACGCCUAUUCAGGCAUUUAUUUUAUGAGAAUUGAAUAAAUAUAUUUGUCUGUGAUUUUUUCAUUUAUUUUGAUAUGAAAAAUUAUGAUAAAGGAGUAUGAAGAUAAAAAUACAUAUAAUAACUGUUUCAGCAGUUCAAAUUCAGUAUACCUAAUAUAAUCCGUAAAUAUUGCCCUUGGUAUUGCUUUGACGGUUUGCUUUGGUACAUGAAAAUAUUUGAAAGUGAAAU